UAAAGGCUAAUGAGAAAUCAACAUUUCCUUAAGUAAACUACUAAAAAGUACAAAUGCAAAACAUGAUUUAAAUGGUGGUUUCCUGCUUGUGGAUUUAAUUAAAUGGUCACUGUAUAAAGGGACUUUUUUUCUCCUGAGAACCAUGCGAUAGACCUGAUCCCCUCAGUAAUUUAUAGCUCAAUUUUCUGUCCAUGCAGGUAAUGGAAACUGUGUCUGAACCAUGAGGAAUCUUCCCAGGAUCAGAUCUGUGAAUCCAGAAUGCAAAUGAAGGAAGGUUUUCUGGAGGUUUCGGUGCUCAAUUGUCUCAAACUGAAGCCACUCAAAAACCCGUUUCAGAGCCUCUGGGAGAGAAAGUGAGAUGGAGAGUCAGCACUCAUUUAAUAUAAACAGAGAAGAGAGAAGAAGAUGAAGCUGUAGGCACUGCACUGGAGAACAAGAGACACUGUCAGGCAGUUUGGAAAGUGUUACUGUCCCACCAAGAAGCCCAUCUUAUUGUUCCACACCCUGUCACUCUUCUUGGAUCAAAAUGAUAUUGCCCUAGGAAGAAAUACACAGCUAUUCAUUUACUUCUGAUACGAUGCCUUUGCCUUGAGCAUCAUGCUGUCUUCCCCUAAAAAAGCAAGUUUCACUUCCAUAGCAAUUAAUCAUUAUACAUAAGGAGUUUAGUUUGUUUAAACAUCUUUCACCAACUUCAUGAUGCACAGAGAUUUGAGAUACUUAUGAUUAGCUCUUGAUAAAACAAGAGGAGGAGGAUGUACUUUUUAAGGCUGGAUUCUGCCACUCUUCCAAUGAGUAAUUCCUUAUUCUGCAAAUAGUCCUGUUGACAUUAACUACUCUGCACAGAGCAAGAGCAGCAGAAUGUGGCUCUUAACAAAGGAGGUUCCAAACUCGUGAUCAGUUCAUCUGGGGCUGAAACGUGAAGAGACAAGAAGAAUGAUGGACAAAUUCAACCGAGGCUAUCCCAGGUCUCAGUGCAGCAAGACUCUCAAGGCAUCAGGUUAGUUACAUGCCUAGUCUUCAACAGAAACUACCCUGAAGUCUUAAAGGACAAACAGCCUGGGCAGAUGAAGCAACUCAUCCAGGAUACAUACAAUUCUGGUGAGCCUCACUCUCUAUGUGAAGUUACCUAAACUGUCAAUACAUUAGAUCAUGAUCAACUCACACCAGUUUUCAACAUGAGAAAGAAACCCUGUGGCUGUACCAGUUCUGCAGCUUCUUUGCUAUAUUUGUCACGUCCCACUGAAUAAGACUUCCCUUGAGGUUUUAUUUUUAGAUAUUGGAGGAGAUCCCUCUUCCCAUUAGUGACUGAUAAUUCUCUUCUCUUCCCUUCCAGGAAUGGGUUCCCCUCAUGCCCUCCUGGUGAUGGAUUAGCCCAUUGACAGGUUGACCAUUUCUGUUGCCCUGGGCUGAAAUAAAGGUCUCAUCUAUACUACAGACAUAACAAUAUUUAAACAGGAUUGUGAAAAAUGGUUGUAACACAGGCACCUACUAGGGUCAAAACAUAAUUCUCCAUCACUGUUAUGACUGGGGAUGUAAAUAGGGUUUAAAAUAGUAACAGUUUAACCUAUUAAAAUUCUAUCAGUUAAACAGUUAACGGUUAAGAAGUUCACAGAGGCGAGAAACUAGGAGUGCAAGGGGUCCCUGCUGCCGGCCCCGCAUCCCAGGUGCAAAGCCAGCAGCAGAAUUUAAUCAUUAACCGAAACCAAUAAGACUAACGCUUAUCAGUUAACCAGUUAAACUUUUACAUCCCCAGUUAUGACAUUUUUGUACUGUCUAGACCAGCAAAAAUAAGUCAUAAUCAUGUUUAAAUAUGGCUGUGCUGAAAAGGGUUUUUUUUUUUGUAGUGGCAACAGGGCUGAAAAAUAUGUCCCCUUCCUGCUCAGCCUAAAGAGAUGCAUUAAUGAAUUGAUGAAUUUUCCCCCAUGGCUACAGUCUUUGUCUACACUAGAAAUUCCUGGAAAUCUUCCACUGUCGCAAUGCCUCUAGAGGUAGCAGUGGGGAGCACGACUGUGUAGUAGACAUCAUUCAGGUGCCCACUGACGUUUACUGUACUGUUUACACCUACCCUGAGCGGCAUUAGACAACAAGUGGUGGUAAAGCACUAGUGCUCUGAUGACAUUAGUGCUUCCACUGUUGCUAUCGCUGGUGGGAGAAAUUUUAUAAUCAAGAUUAGACGCAGCCACUACCUGCCUCAGAGCCACUAUCUGCUCUACUCACCAAACAGGCGACACUUCACAAGUACAUCCUUAGAGGAGCUGGGAGAAAGAGUCCAAAUGUUCUGAGAGCCAUCCAGGGGGCCUCAGAGAAACACACAUGACUAAGCCAAAUGCAAAUGAGAACCUGCUAUGAAAAAUUCUGUGUAUUCUCACUUUCCCCUGAUCGCUGGAUGGUGCCUCUCAAUAACUGUUUCCUGAACGUUGAGACUGUCAGGUGAAUAAGUCACUGCUUCAGACCCAAAAUCUCAUCAAGAACACAGUAACUGGAAGAGCUGGAAAUGUCCCAGUUUCUGUUUUAAAGCAUUUGGCACCGACUUGAGUAAAAAUAUCUCCCUUUCAAAA